UGGCGGAAGGCGCCGGCACUGGGGGCAGCCCGAGCCGCGCUGCACGGGCAGUCCGCCGGCGGCGUCCGGGGGUGGGAUUGCUGGAGGGGAAAGCUGGAGACCCAAGGGAAGCCCCAGCAACCCCGCCCCCUCGGGAAGAGAAACGGGACCCUUUCGCGGCACUGCGAGAGGAACUGAAGGGCUAAAAACUAGGAGCUGCGGUUUGGGGUUCAGGCCGCCCAGUCGGCAUGGUGAAUACCUGCUAGUGGUCUGCUGAUAAAGAGCCUUAUAUACACAUUCCUGUGGGCCCAAAACAGCACUUAAUCUGUGGAUUUUGUUGAAGAAAUACAUAGCUGCAAAUACCAUUUUUUCACAAAGAGAAGACUAUUGUACAAAUACUGUGCUGUUCUGCUUCAUCAGUGGUCAAGAUUUUUUCAAGUGUAGUCUCUGGUUUGGAUUUGUGUAAACAUUGAAAUGGAAAGGGAGUCCAAUGUGAUUAUGCAACUACCUGGAACACAACAGCUCCCUCCUGUGGAGACGGACUCAAAGGCUGAGUCUGGGUAAUGAGACAGCACUGAAGAUAAGAUGCUGCUCAGUUUUUCCAAAUUGAGAGAAGAAACAGAGAGAUUGUUUGUGAGAGAGAGAUGUCCAUAUCAGCCCCUGUGAUACAAACUUGUUCCAGCUAUGAUAUUGUAUUAUAACUGCCAUGGUGAGCUGCCACAAAGUCCAUCAGCAUUCUGGGAAGGGUGUUUUGGGCUCGUGCAUUAGAUCUAAUGAAGUUUACUCUUGCACUGUAUUACACCUUGCAGAUAAUCCUAUCAGGUCAAUGGAUUUCAACUGGCAUAUCUCUGAUGUGUGGAGGAAACAGCCACAGGGAUUCCCAAAAAGCAGCUAAGGAAAUCCAGCCCGUUGCCAGUCUGCCUGGUCGCUAGACAGGGAUGCACAACCCCACUGGAAGGCUGAAAAAGACUUUGAAAACUACUAAUCUCAGUUAAUAAAAAUUCAUUAUUGCAAAUAAAGCAGCACUGGCUUUCUUUAAGCAUGAGAAAUGCU